GACGAACGCUGGCGGCGUGCCUAAUACAUGCAAGUAGAACGCUGAAGAGAGGAGCUUGCUCUUCUUGGAUGAGUUGCGAACGGGUGAGUAACGCGUAGGUAACCUGCCUUGUAGCGGGGGAUAACUAUUGGAAACGAUAGCUAAUACCGCAUAACAAUGGAUGACACAUGUCAUUUAUUUGAAAGGGGCAAUUGCUCCACUACAAGAUGGACCUGCGUUGUAUUAGCUAGUAGGUGAGGUAUUGGCUCACCUAGGCGACGAUACAUAGCCGACCUGAGAGGGUGAUCGGCCACACUGGGAAUGAGACACGGCCCAGACUCCUACGAGAGACAGCAGUAGAGAAUAUUCGGCAAUGGGGGCAACACUGACCGAGCAACGCCGCGUGAGUGAAGAAGGUUGUCGGAUCGUAAAGAUCUGUUGUAAGUGAAGAAAAGGUGUGAGAGUGGAAAGUUCAAAAUGUGACGGUAGCUUAACAGAAAGGGACGGCUAAAUACGUG
rnacentral:rRNA from 1 species